GACGAACGCUAGCGGCGUGCUUAACACAUGCAAGUCGAGCGGUAAGGCCCUUCGGGGUACACGAGCGGCGAACGGGUGAGUAACACGUGGGUGAUCUGCCUUGCACUUCGGGAUAAGCCUGGGAAACCGGGUCUAAUACCGGAUAUGACCACGAGAUGCAUGUCUUGUGGUGGAAAGAUUUAUCGGUGCGAGAUGGGCCCGCGGCCUAUCAGCUUGUUGGUGAGGUAACGGCUCACCAAGGCGACGACGGGUAGCCGACCUGAGAGGGUGACCGGCCACACUGGGACUGAGACACGGCCCAGACUCCUACGGGAGGCAGCAGUGGGGAAUAUUGCACAAUGGGCGAAAGCCUGAUGCAGCGACGCCGCGUGCGGGAUGACGGCCUUCGGGCUGUAAACCGCUUUUGACAGGGACGAAGCGCAAGUGACUGUACCUGUAGAAUAAGGACCGGCCAACUACGUG
rnacentral:rRNA from 1 species